UGGGCGUGGUGUGUCUAUCCAUACAUGUUAGUGGAUGUAUGGACAUGUUAGAUCAUCUAUGGAAAGGCAACGCAGCUGUGGGGAAUAUCAGCACACAACUCACACGCAGUACCCAGCCAAAAACUCUGCAUCUCAUGAGGGGAAUAUUCACACACACGCACAGAGACAGGGAGAAUUGCAUUGCAAUGCCUUUGGAGCCUGAGACCAAGCAGCUGCAUCCAUAUAAAGAAGAUAGAUUAUACAAUACAGAAAAGCAUAGGUCACUCACAGACUGAAAACCUCAGACUGGAAGGAGAGCUGAAUCUCGAAAGCAGCAGCUCAUCAGCUCAUCAGCUCAGGAACCUGCGGGGAGGCAGACUGCUAUUUCCCUUGCUGAUAUUCUGUACUGAGAAAGCAAGUGGGAAGAAGUCCCCAACCUGGUACCAAAAGAGAAAUUAACUUAUAAUAA